UGACUGUUUUACAAAAACAUAGCCCUAGAUAAAAUCUAAGGUGUAACCUGCCCAGUGGCCUUUAAUAAAGAUCUAAAAGUUCUUCAAUAAGGUUAAAAGGACGCGGUAACCUUGACCGUGGUAAUGUAGCAUAAUCACUCGCCAUUUAAUUGAUGGAUAGUAUGAAUGGUUGAACGAAUACUCCACUGUCUUAGAAAGAAUUAAUAAAAAUUGAAAUAAUAGUCAAGAUGCUAUUUUCUACUGUAAGACGAAAAGACCCUAUAGAGCUUAACUAUAAUCUUUUUUCUAAACAAAGGAAUCACCCUCAAAGAAAGAAAGGUAGGUAGUUUAGUUGGGGCGACUGCCUUCUAAAAUUAACGAAGGCAAGCAAUGUUAGUAUUAAACUUAUUGUCUAAUUAAUGAAUUUAACAAUUACGAUAGUAGGCUUCAGUGACCCGUUUUUGCUUAGUAAAAGGAAAAACGAUCAAUAAAUAAAAGCUACCUUAUGGGAUAACAGGAU
rnacentral:rRNA from 1 species